rnacentral:lncRNA from 1 species
CUUACCUGGACACACUGUUUGUUCUGGAUAUGCUAACCACUUUAAAGACGUUGAUGAUUCUAAACACUCAUUCAGGUACCAGCGCAUGAUCUGUUAGGAACUGGCUGCACAGCAAGAGGUGAGUGGCUGGCAGGCCAGCAAAGCUUCAUCUGUAUUUACAGCCACUCCUCAUCGCUUGCAUUACUGCCUUAGCCCCACCUCCUGUCAGAUCAGAAGUAACAUUAGAUUAUCAUACCCCGUGGUGAACUGUCUAUGCGAGGGAUCUAGAUUGUGCACUCUUAUGAUUAUCUAAUGCCUGAUGAUCUGUCACUGUCUGCCAUCACCCCGGGAUGGAAAACAAGUUCAGGCCUCCCACGGAUUCUACAUUAUGAGAAAAUAAAGUAAUGUAAGGAAAAGGUGCAGAAGAUUAGAGAGAAAGUGUGACAUGAGCUGAGCCCUGAAAGGAGAAUAAAACUCCAACGAAUUGCAG